UGCUUGCUGACGGUCGACACGCGAGAUGCGAAUUCUCCAGCUGCGAAAAUGUUUACUCGCUAUGUGUCUCUUCCUUUUAUGUCUUGUCCAAGCGCUCGACAACCGUGUGGAGCAAAUGAAGCAUAUAAAGGAUAAGAUCAUGAACACCGCCAAAUAUAGGCGGACAGCAAGGCCCCAAGCCACCGCCAAUGAAACGACCUUUGUUUCAUUCGAACUGAAAGCCGCCAGUGUCCCCAGUCUGACACCGAGGCGUCGUCACCUGUUCCUGAACGCGUUCAUUUGCCUG